rnacentral:rRNA from 2 species
UUUUAUGGAGAGUUUGAUCCUGGCUCAGGAUGAACGCUGGCGGCGUGCCUAAUACAUGCAAGUCGAGCGAACGGACGAGAAGCUUGCUUCUCUGAUGUUAGCGGCGGUCGGGUGAGUAACACGUGGAUAACCUACCUAUAAGACUGGGAUAACUUCGGGAAACCGGAGCUAAUACCGGAUAAUAUUUUGAACCGCAUGGUUCAAAAGUGAAAGACGGUCUUGCUGUCACUUAUAGAUGGAUCCGCGCUGCAUUAGCUAGUUGGUAAGGUAACGGCUUACCAAGGCAACGAUGCAUAGCCGACCUGAGAGGGUGAUCGGCCACACUGGAACUGAGACACGGUCCAGACUCCUACGGGAGGCAGCAGUAGGGAAUCUUCCGCAAUGGGCGAAAGCCUGACGGAGCAACGCCGCGUGAGUGAUGAAGGUCUUCGGAUCGUAAAACUCUGUUAUUAGGGAAGAACAUAUGUGUAAGUAACUGUGCACAUCUUGACGGUACCUAAUCAGAAAGCCACGGCUAACUACNGGGCGUAAAGCGCGCGUAGGCGGUUUUUUAAGUCUGAUGUGAAAGCCCACGGCUCAACCGUGGAGGGUCAUUGGAAACUGGAAAACUUGAGUGCAGAAGAGGAAAGUGGAAUUCCAUGUGUAGCGG